rnacentral:rRNA from 1 species
GAUGAACGCUGGCGGCGUGCCUAACACAUGCAAGUCGAACGGCACCCCUCCUCGGAGGGAAGCGAGUGGCGAACGGCUGAGUAACACGUGGAGAACCUGCCCCCUCCCCCGGGAUAGCCGCUCGAAAGGACGGGUAAUACCGGAUACCCCGGGGUGCCGCAUGGCACCCCGGCUAAAGCCCCGACGGGAGGGGAUGGCUCCGCGGCCCAUCAGGUAGACGGCGGGGUGACGGCCCACCGUGCCGACAACGGGUAGCCGGGUUGAGAGACCGACCGGCCAGAUUGGGACUGAGACACGGCCCAGACUCCGACGGGAGGCAGCAGUGGGGAAUCUUGCGCAAUGGGGGGAACCCUGACGCAGCGACGCCGCGUGCGGGACGGAGGCCUUCGGGUCGUAAGCCGCUUUCAGCAGGGAAGAGUCAAGACUGUACCUGCAGAAGAAGCCCCGGCUAACUACGU